UACGUAGGGGGCAAGCGUUGUCCGGAUUUAUUGGGCGUAAAGAGCGUGUAGGCGGCUUUGCAAGUCCGUUGUGAAAACUCGAGGCUCAACCUCGAGACGCCGGUGGAAACUGCAAAGCUAGAGUCCGGAAGAGGAGAGUGGAAUUCCUGGUGUAGCGGUGAAAUGCGCAGAUAUCAGGAAGAACACCGGUGGCGAAGGCGGCUCUCUGGGACGGUACUGACGCUGAGACGCGAAAGCGUGGGGAGCGAACAGG
rnacentral:rRNA from 1 species